rnacentral:tRNA from 2 species
GCCUUUGUGGUGGAAUGGUAGACACACAUGACUUAAAAUCAUGUGCAUUUUUGCGUGCCGGUUCAAGUCCGGCCGGAGGUA